rnacentral:rRNA from 1 species
GACGAACGCUGGCGGCGUGCCUAAUACAUGCAAGUCGAGCGGACCAACCAGGAGCUUGCUCUUGUUUGGUUAGCGGCGGACGGGUGAGUAACACGUGGGUAACCUGCCCGUAAGACCGGGAUAACUCCGGGAAACCGGAGCUAAUACCGGAUAACACCGAAGACCGCAUGGUCUUUGGUUGAAAGGCGGCUUCGGCUGCCACUUACGGAUGGGCCCGCGGCGCAUUAGCUAGUUGGUGAGGUAACGGCUCACCAAGGCGACGAUGCGUAGCCGGCCUGAGAGGGUGACCGGCCACACUGGGACUGAGACGCGGCCCAGACUCCUACGGGAGGCAGCAGUAGGGAAUCUUCCGCAAUGGACGAAAGUCUGACGGAGCGACGCCGCGUGAGCGAAGAAGGUCUUCGGAUCGUAAAGCUCUGUUGUUAGGGAAGAAGAAGCGCCGUUCGAACAGGGCGGCGCGGUGACGGUACCUAACGAGAAAGCCCCGGCUAACUACGUG